GGAGUCGUGGUAUCGUGGAAGCAGAUCGGUCCCAACUAACGGAGGCGGAGGUUCAAUCCCUUCCGACUCCA
rnacentral:tRNA from 1 species